GGGAUCAAAUCCUGGUCAUCAGGCUUGGUGGCGAGUGUCUUUACUUGCUAAACAAGCUCACUGGCUCCAAGCCACAGCUUUAUAACCAGGCAGUGGUGUUGCAUGCAGAGGUGACAGACAGUCCAGCUUCCUGCUCCUGCAACCACACCUUGCUGGCCACAAGUGACUGGAGCCCUCAGUACUGAGAUGGUUGCGGCAGCGGCUCGGGACUUCUAAAGUCUGUAAUACUUCCUGUUCGGCCUUGGACUCACUGACGU